AAAUAAAUAUCUAAAUUUAAGUAUAUCAUUUACAAUGAUAAGAUGUUGUUAAACUUUAUUUAAAUUAAAUUUAUUAA
rnacentral:tRNA from 1 species